rnacentral:rRNA from 1 species
UACGGGGGGGGCAAGCGUUGUUCGGAAUUACUGGGCGUAAAGGGCUCGUAGGCGGCCAACUAAGUCAGACGUGAAAUCCCUCGGCUUAACCGGGGAACUGCGUCUGAUACUGGAUGGCUUGAGGUUGGGAGAGGGAUGCGGAAUUCCAGGUGUAGCGGUGAAAUGCGUAGAUAUCUGGAGGAACGCCGGUGGCGAAGGCGGCAUCCUGGACCAAUUCUGACGCUGAGGAGCGAAAGCCAGGGGAGCAAACGGG